rnacentral:rRNA from 1 species
GAUGAACGCUAGCUACAGGCUUAACACAUGCAAGUCGAGGGGAAACGACAUCGAAAGCUUGCUUUUGAUGGGCGUCGACCGGCGCACGGGUGAGUAACGCGUAUCCAACCUGCCCACCACUUGGGGAUAACCUUGCGAAAGUAAGACUAAUACCCAAUGAUAUCUCUAGAAGACAUCUGAAGGCGAUUAACGAUUUAUUGGUGAUGGAUGGGGAUGCGUCUGAUUAGCUGGUUGGCGGGGGAACGGCCCACCAAGGCGGCGAUCAGUAGGGGUUCUGGGAGGAAGGUCCCCCACAUUGGAACUGAGACACGGUCCAAACUCCUACGGGAGGCAGCAGUGAGGAAUAUUGGUCAAUGGGCGAGAGCCUGAACCAGCCAAGUAGCGUGCAGGAUGACGGCCCUAUGGGUUGUAAACUGCUUUUAUAAGGGAAUAAAGUGAGUCUCGUGAGACUUUUUGCAUGUACCUUAUGAAUAAGGACCGGCUAAUUCCGUGCCAGCCGCCGCGGUAA